UGCCCCCUGGGGCCUGGAUCUGGAACGGGGGGUCUCCCUUCUGCAGCCCCUGCCCUGCUUGGCCACAGCACUCAAGAGUGCUCCCUUCCAGAGAGUCGGGCAGCUGUGCAUCUGUACAGGGGGAACCAAGGUUGUGCCGGGCCCUCCUGGAGCUGGGUCAGCGGGGACAGCAGUGUGGGGGCCCUGAGGAGGCAGAGGCAGGAGCGUGGCCUGCACCUUCCUGGUUGGCGUGAGCCCUGGGCUGCGGACUCCCCUGUUUGCUUCCAGUUUUCAGUGGCUCCUCCCCAAACUGACGGGCCAACCCUGGGCAAGAACGGGCUGGGGGCAGGCACCCAGGAUCAGGCAGCACCCAGCCAGGCCUUUCUGAACACCGCCUGGGGCCUCACCAUCCGGGAAUGGGGGCCCUCUAGGUUCUUCAGCAGCAGCCAGUCCCCCACCCUACCCAGUCCCGGAGGUUCUCGGGGCCACUAGAGGAGAAACAUCCGUGUGGCUGAGGAAGAGUUGGCUGUUUUGUAUCCCAAGUUCCCACAUGGAAAUGAAUUCGGUGACCCCCCAUCUCCCGAGGGCCUCCUGGUUUGGCCCUGGUCUCCGGGAACCGAGUACCUGGGUGGGUGGGGAGCUGUACAAGCUAAGACCAGGGAAGGACGCCUGGGGGACGGAUGCCACGGCCCGUGCACGGUCGAUUGGAGCCGCAGGGCAGGGAGGAUCUACAGGGCAAGUUCCAGGUGAGACCAGAGAGAGCUGCAGCUGCCCCGGCUCUGGAAGCCCCCAGCCCUCCCGAGGCCCAGCCUUCAGCCCACGUAUCCUCUGAACCCGUUCACCACGGUCAGAAGUGGUUGCAAACUGGAUUUUUAGACUCUUCCUGUUGGGGGUCUCGGACAUUUGCUCUUUUCCACAGCGGCCAAUUCUUCAGAGCCACAAAGAACUGGGCGACGCAGGGUUCCUCAAGCAAUUCCAAACUCCAGAGAAGACAUCCCAGGUAAAAUCGGAUGGCAGGGACCUGGG
rnacentral:lncRNA from 1 species